UCCAACGUCUGCCUUUUGUCAAGGUGCUU
rnacentral:piRNA from 1 species